rnacentral:misc_RNA from 1 species
GAUGAAGAACGUAGCGAAAUGCGAUAAGUAAUGUGAAUUGCAGAAUUCAGUGAAUCAUCGAAUCUUUGAACGCACCUUGCACCCUUUGGCAUUCCGAAGGGUAUGCUCGUUUGAGUGUCAUUGUACUCUCACACUCUCCGAUCCUAUGGAUUCGGGGAGCGGUGGACUUGGGUGUUGCUGCCUUUCCUUGUGGCUCACCUCAAAUGUGUCAGUGCACCUCUUGGUUGGACAUAGUACGGCGUGAUAAGUGUCUUCGCCGGCACCUCGCAAGAGGGUGGCCGAUCGGGAGCUCUGUGCUUUCAAACCGUCUUCGGACAAUUUCUGACAACUUGACCUCAAAUCGAGUAGGACUACCCGCUGAACUUAAGCAUAUCAAUAAGCGAGGA